rnacentral:lncRNA from 1 species
AAGUGCUGGUUGAAGCGCAAAUUGCAUGAUCACCGUUUCAUUAUGGUUACCGUAGAAAUCAGGGUUGGGAGGUUAAUAGGAACACGACCAGAUAGGUCUCAAGGCUUGGGGGCGGUUAAAAAGAUUUUGAAUACCAAGAAGAAGAAACCUGCUUUUAAAAGGCCACCCACUGUGUAUGACAUCUUAAGAAAUCCGAAAGAUCCUAGGAGAAGCGGGGAGAAGAGUGGAGUAUACGAAAUACCUUUGACAGAUGUAGAUACUGAUACCCAAAGGAUUUACGUGGGAGCGACGAAACGGAAUCUUCAAGAGUGAGUGGAAGAACAUAAAAGAGACAUUAGGACAGCCAAUCUAGUGACAGCACUUGCAAAAACAGCAUAUGAAAAGGAUGUAAUAAAUUGGGACCGAGCCAAAGUUGUUAAGCAAAUAAAUAGUAACCCGGAGCUACCUUUAGCGAAGAGCGUGCGGAUUCUAGAGCAUAAAAAGGUAAAAAGCGUGAUUAAUGACAGAGGAGAGGAGGAUUUACAAAGCUCUUGG